AGYCGCGGUUAAACCAAGGAGAUCAAGUUAUAUAUUAACGGUAAAAAAUAGUUAAACAUAUAUAAAAAGUCUAUUAAAUGUUUAUAAAAAAGUAAAAUUUGACCAUAGACAAAAAAUCUAAUUUAGACUUAGAUGUUGAAGCUAUGAAAACCUUGAGGGAAACUGGGAUUAGAUACCCCAUUAUUCUUGGAAGUAAAAUAAUACUUAUUUACCAGAGUACUAUGAACUAAAAAUUUAAAACUUAAAGGGCUUGGCGGUGUUUUAGACCCCCCAGGGGAACCUGUCUCAUAAUCGACAAUCCACGUUAAACCUAACCUUUUUUUGCACUCAAUUUGUAUACCGUCGUCGUCAGGUAACUUUUUAGAAAAAAGAAGUUAGCAAAAAAAUUAAGGUGAAUUUAUACGUCAGAUCAAGGUGCAGUCAAUAAAAAGGUGAGGAUGGGUUACAAUUAUAAAAUUAUAAUUACGAAGCAAUUAUCUGAAUAAAAAUUGUUAAGGAGGACUUGAAAGUAAGAUAAAAUAUAUAAACAUUCUGAAUAAGGCUCUGAAACGCGCACACAUCGCCCG
rnacentral:rRNA from 1 species